rnacentral:snoRNA from 1 species
UCUGUGCUGGAGGAUGAAAUACGGAGUGAUCCAUCGGCUAAGUGAUUUAUCACAAUGCUGAAACUCAGAUUGCUGACAGCACACA